rnacentral:rRNA from 1 species
UACGUAGGGAGCAAGCGUUGUCCGGAAUCAUUGGGCGUAAAGCGCGCGUAGGUGGCUUCGUAAGUCCGUUGUGAAAGUCAAAGGCUCAACCUUUGAAAGCCGAUGGAUACUGCGGAGCUAGAGUACGGAAGAGGCGAGUGGAAUUCCUGGUGUAGCGGUGAAAUGACGCAGAUAUCAGGAGGAACACCGGUGGCGAAGGCGGAUCUCUGGGCCUUGCCUGACGCUGAGGCGCGAAAGCUAGGGGAGCGAACAGG